AUGAACGCUGGCGGCUUGCCUAAUACAUGCAAGUCGAGCGAACAGACGAGGAGCUUGCUCCUCUGACGUUAGCGGCGGACGGGUGAGUAACACGUGGUUAACCUACCUAUAAGCCUGGGAUAACUUCGGGAAACCGGAGCUAAUACCGGAUAAUAUAUUGAACCGCCUGGUUCAAUAGUGAAAGACGGUUUUGCUGUCACUUAUAGAUGGAUCCGCGCCGCAUUAGCUAGUUGGUAAGGUAACGGCUUACCAAGGCAACGAUGCGUAGCCGACCUGAGAGGGUGAUCGGCCACACUGGAACUGAGACACGGUCCAGACUCCUACGGGAGGCAGCAGUAGGGAAUCUUCCGCAAUGGGCGAAAGCCUGACGGAGCAACGCCGCGUGAGUGAUGAAGGUCUUCGGAUCGUAAAACUCUGUUAUUAGGGAAGAACAAAUGUGUAAGUAACUAUGCACGUCUUGACGGUACCUAAUCAGAAAGCCACGGCUAACUACGUG
rnacentral:rRNA from 1 species